ACUGCUCCUCGCUUCCUCACUCCGGGCUGCCUUCGUCGCCACUUCCAGCGCCGCCGCGUCUGCCUCUUUGCCUCGCCGCCGAGCGAGAUCAGCCGCCUCUCGCAGGAUGCUGCCGGCGCUGGAGGAGGGUCUCCGGCGGGCUCGCGUGGGCUUCGUGGCUCUCGCCCUCAGCCUCAGCCUGCUGGACGCGGUCGCGCCGGCGGAGCAGCAGAUUCCCCUGUCUGUCGUAAAACUCUGGGCCUCUGCUUUUGGCGGGGAAAUUAGGUCCAUCGCUGCGAAAUACUCAGGCUCCCAACUUCUGCAGAAGGUAAGGUUGGCACAGCUGUACUGGGUCUCCGGAAGGAUGCCGCUCUGGCUUGAACAGCAACGGCAUCCGUCAGUCGGAAGGCUUUUCCCCUGCUCUCUUUCCGCUCCCGCUUGCACCGUUUUAACUGCCUGUUCCCUUUUUACACACUGCGGAGACCAUAUAGUUUCCCCUACAAUCCGGCUAUUUUUAGAUUACUCUCCUUUUCUGAACAGAGCCCACUAGAUGACUUCAGCUAUCUCAGACAAGGCUGUUGAGAGGGAGGGUAGCGUUUGUUUCCCUUUCUAGGCAGAGCCUGUGAUGUAAGCAGUAGUUUUUUGCUGGGUAAACACACAUGUACACACAAAGUUCAUUCAAGAGAUAGGAGAGAAAAACGGGGAGAAAAAUAGUAUGCUUUCUCCAGCUGUACUUCAUUGCAACGGAAGAGAGAGAAAACAAAUACCCGAAGGCUUGACAAUUGUUUGUCAUCCCUGCAGUCCUAUUACAAUCCUAUUAUUCCUCCAAUCAUUUCAGGCCAGUGCUAGGAUGUAUUACAUCAUUACAGAUAAGGGAAAUGAAUGUGGUUAUCUUCCUGCUCAGCUGCACAGCUGGGUAAUAAGCUUGUGAAGUAGUGCAAAAACUUGAGAAAUUGGACCAAGUCCCCAUAAUUCAUAAGAGUAAUGAGAACAGAGAGUGGAUAAUUAGACCUUUUAUCAGAGCUUGCAUCUGGUCCCAUUUAAAUACAUAACCUUUUCUGAAAUCCCAUUUCCAGAUAACCUCUGUUUAAAUAUAGCUGUUGAUGAAUUAAAAAUAAAUGAGAAACUCAGGGCA
rnacentral:lncRNA from 1 species